rnacentral:rRNA from 1 species
AUGCUCGGCACCCCCGUCGUCAUCGGCGCCGGCUGCUGCUCCGGCCGCGCUGGGCGCGGAUACCAAUGGGCAGAGGAUGCUUCCUUGGCCAAGCCGAUGCCCGCGACCAGGCGGCUCCCCCGCGCCGGCAACGGCCCCUGCGGCCCCGUCGGACGCCGCCCCUCCAGCCACCUCCAAGCUCGUGGUGAAGCUGCGGCCGCCGCCCGCCGUCGUCCCCGGUGGUUCGACCCCAUUCGGCUUCUCCAGCAGCAUUCCAUCAAGUGA